GGCUCUGAGUCGCCGACUCCACAAGGGGAGUCGCCGACACUGGCGAGGCGCCAAGUAGCUCGUGCACGGUGGCACUCAGCUCCAAUCCAUGAGGUGGAACGACCGGAGUCGCCGACUCAACCUCUCUGUCAGGAGAGGGAAUCGGCGACUCAACGGUGUUCAACACCCCAUCCAGGUUAUCAGUCAUUAAGUCAGCUAUAAAAGCUGACGUUUCGCUUUCCUUCAAUGGGGAGUCGGGGGUAGACAUUGGGUGAAUCGGUGAUUCGAAGGUUUAGAACUGAGGAAUCGGCGAUUCAAAGGUCUGGAGGUUUGGGCGAUCGAGAAAGGCAAA
rnacentral:lncRNA from 1 species